GACGAACGCUGGCGGCGUGCUUAACACAUGCAAGUCGAGCGGUAAGGCCCUUUCGGGGGUACACGAGCGGCGAACGGGUGAGUAACACGUGGGUGACCUGCCCUCAGCUCUGGGAUAAGCCUGGGAAACCGGGUCUAAUACUGGAUAUGACUCCAUGACGCAUGUUGUGGGGUGGAAAGCCUUGUGCGGCUGAGGAUGGGCCCGCGGCCUAUCAGCUUGUUGGUGGGGUGANGGCCUACCAAGGCGACGACGGGUAGCCGGCCUGAGAGGGCGACCGGCCACACUGGGACUGAGACACGGCCCAGACUCCUACGGGAGGCAGCAGUGGGGAAUCUUGCACAAUGGGCGAAAGCCUGACGCAGCGACGCCGCGUGAGGGAUGACGGCCUCGGUGUAA
rnacentral:rRNA from 1 species